GGAUGGCGGCGCUGCGGGAAGUGGUCUUGAAAACCGUUGUGGCAGCGAUGUCACCGUGGGUUCAAAUCCCACAGCCUCCG
rnacentral:tRNA from 1 species